GUGAACUGCUGCCUGCUUAAGAGCAGUUUCCUGUCUCUGUAUCUGAUCAAGCAGAAGCAGACGCUUUUCUUAGAAGCAGAUACGGGUUACACUGCCCAUGGCAUAACGGCAACCACUGCACGGGGACACGUGGCUGCCAAGGAUAGCUGUAAUCCAAUACCAUCCUCCUAGGCAAAACCAGCAGGUGUGCUCAGUAGCAGAGAGAAAACCUGGGAAUUUGUCGGAUCAUGCAUUCAGGUAAGAAAAAUCAUCUUGCAUUACAAAGUCCUAUUUAUCAGAAAAACAACUCAGCAAGAAAGUG
rnacentral:lncRNA from 12 species